GUGAGUCAUCGAAUCUUUGAACGCACAUUGCGCCCUAUGGUAUUCCGUAGGGCAUGCCUGUCUGAGCGUCAACUCCCACCCUCUCAAGUCUUCUUUUUGUUAAGGAGAUUUGGAUUACUUUGAGGAAGUAUCGUUUAUUUUUAUAAUGCUGCUCCUCAGAAAUUCAUAGGCAGUAUGGUCAAACCUGAACCAGGCGUAAUAAUUCUAUAAAAAUCGUCUAUGAAGGAAUGUCUGUAUUAGCCUUUAACCCCCCCCCUAAUUUAUUUUACUUGGGUGACCUCAGAUCAGGUAGGGAUACCC
rnacentral:misc_RNA from 1 species